CGAAGACUGCGAAGUGGAGCAAAUCCCUAAAAGCCAUCUCAGUUCGGAUUGCAGGCUGCAACUCGCCUGCAUGAAGCUGGAAUUGCUAGUAAUCGCGGAUCAGCAAGCCGCGGUGAAUACGUUCCCGGGUCUUGUACACACCGCCCGUCACACCAUGGGAGCCGGGAAUGCCCGAAGUCAGCGGCCCAACCGAAAGGGGGGAGCUGCCGAAGGCAGGCCUGGUGACUGGGGUGAAGUCGUAACAAGGUACC
rnacentral:rRNA from 1 species